GAUGAACGCUGGCGGCGUGCCUAAUACAUGCAAGUCGAGCGAACGGACGAGAAGCUUGCUUUUCUGAUGUUAGCGGCGGACGGGUGAGUAACACGUGGAUAACCUACCUAUAAGACUGGGAUAACUUCGGGAAACCGGAGCUAAUACCGGAUAAUAUUUUGAACCGCAUGGUUCAAAAGUGAAAGACGGUCUUGCUGUCACUUAUAGAUGGAUCCGCGCUGCAUUAGCUAGUUGGUAAGGUAACGGCUUACCAAGGCAACGAUGCAUAGCCGACCUGAGAGGGUGAUCGGCCACACUGGAACUGAGACACGGUCCAGACUCCUACGGGAGGCAGCAGUAGGGAAUCUUCCGCAAUGGGCGAAAGCCUGACGGAGCAACGCCGCGUGAGUGAUGAAGGUCUUCGGAUCGUAAAACUCUGUUAUUAGGGAAUAACAUAUGUGUAAGUAACUGUGCACAUCUUGACAGUACCUAAUCAGAAAGCCACGGCUAACUACGUG
rnacentral:rRNA from 1 species